rnacentral:rRNA from 1 species
UUAAAUGGCCGCAGUAUUUUGACUGUGCAAAGGUAGCAUAAUCAUUAGUUUUUUAAUUGAAAGCUGGAAUGAAAGGUUGGACGAGUAAGUAUCUGUCUCAUUGUAAAUUAAUUAUAAUUUUAUUUUUAAGUUAAAAAGCUUAAAUUUAAUUAAAAGACGAGAAGACCCUAUAGAGUUUUAUAAUAGUUUAAAUUAUAGAUAAUUAGAAUUAUAUAUUUAUAAUUUUUUAAAUUAUUGAAUUGGGGUGAUUGAAAAAUUUAUAUAACUUUUUUUUUAUAAAACAUUUAUUUAUGAAUUAUUGAUCCAAAUUAUUGAUUAUAAGAUUAAAUUACCUUAGGGAUAACAGCGUUAUUUCUUUAGAGAGUUCUAAUCGAUAAAGAAGUUUGCGACCUCGAUGUUGGAUUAAAAUAUAAAUUUGGUGUAGGUGCUAAAUUAUUUGGUCUGUUCGACCAUUAAAAUUUUACAUGAUCUGAGUUUAAACCGGUGUAAGCCAGGUUGGUUUCUAUCUUUAAUUAGUUAAUAAAAUAUUUUAGUACGAAAGGACCAAAUAUUUAUAAAAUUUAUUUUAAAAGAAUUAGAUUAAUAA